rnacentral:rRNA from 1 species
UGGGGAAUAUUGCACAAUGGGCGAAAGCCUGAUGCAGCAAUGCCGCGUGUGUGAAGAAGGCCUGCGGGUUGUAAAGCACUUUCGGUAGGGAAGAUUAUGACGGUACCUACAGAAGAAGCACCGGCUAACUCCGUGCCAGCAGCCGCGGUAAUACGGAGGGUGCGAGCGUUAAUCGGAAUUACUGGGCGUAAAGAGCGCGUAGGCGGUCUCGUAAGUCGGAUGUGAAAGCCCCGGGCUUAACCUGGGAAUUGCAUUCGAUACUGCGGGACUAGAGUAUGGUAGAGGGAAGCGGAAUUCCGGGUGUAGCGGUGAAAUGCGUAGAUAUCCGGAGGAACACCAGUGGCGAAGGCGGCUUCCUGGACCAAUACUGACGCUGAGGCGCGAAAGCGUGGGGAGCAAACAGG